GAUGAAGAACGUAGCGAAAUGCGAUACUUGGUGUGAAUUGCAGAAUCCCGCGAAUCAUCGAGUUUUUGAACGCAAGUUGCGCCCGAAGCCAUUCGGCCGAGGGCACGUCUGCCUGGGUGUCACGCAUCGUUGCCCCCCCCAAACUUCGGUUCGGGCGGGGCAGAAGUUGGCCUCCCGUGCGUGCCUGCGCGUGCGGUUAGCCCAAAAGCGAGUCCUCGGCGACGAGCGCCACGAAAAUCGGUGGUUUUUUUGCCCUCGUUCCUCGUCGUGCGUGCCCCGUCGCCCGAACGCGCUCUUGCGACCUUCACGCGUCGCCUCGGUGGCGCUCCCAACGCGACCCCAGGUCAGGCGGGACUACCCGCUGAGUUUAAGCAUAUCAAUAAGCGGAGGA
rnacentral:misc_RNA from 1 species